CAUUUCUUUAAGAAAGUAAGAUCCCUGAGAGAUGAUCAGGUAGAUAGGUCAGAAGUGGAAGGCCAGUGAUGGUUGGAGCGGACUGAUACUAAUCGAUCGA
rfam:Enterococcus sp. HSIEG1 chromosome, whole genome shotgun sequence.